rnacentral:rRNA from 1 species
AACGAACGCUGGCGGCAGGCUUAACACAUGCAAGUCGAGCGCAUCCUUCGGGGUUAGCGGCAGACGGGUGAGUAACGCGUGGGAAUCUACCUUUUGCUACGGAAUAGCUCCGGGAAACUGGAAUUAAUACCGUAUGUGCCCUUAGGGGGAAAGAUUUAUCGGCAAGAGAUGAGCCCGCGUUGGAUUAGCUAGUUGGUGGGGAAAAGGCCUACCAAGGCGACGAUCCAUAGCUGGUCUGAGAGGAUGAUCAGCCACAUUGGAACUGAGACACGGCCCAAGCUGCUGCGGGUGGCAGCAGUGGGGAAUAUUGGACUAUGGGCGCAGGCCUGAUCCAGCCAUGCCGCGUGAGUGAUGAAGGCCUUAGGGUUGUAAAGCUCUUUUACCAGAGAAGAUGAUGACAGUAUCCGGAGAAGAAGCCCCGGCUAACUUCGUG